UACAGAGGGUGCAAGCGUUGUUCGGAAUUAUUGGGCGUAAAGCGCGUGUAGGCGGCUUUGCAAGUCGGGUGUGAAAUCCCCAGGCUCAACCUGGGAACUGCGUCCGAUACUGGCAGGCUUGAAUCCGGGAGAGGGAUGUGGAAUUCCAGGUGUAGCGGUGAAAUGCGUAGAUAUCUGGAGGAACACCGGUGGCGAAGGCGGCAUCCUGGACCGGUAUUGACGCUGAGGCGCGAAAGCUAGGGGAGCAAACGGG
rnacentral:rRNA from 1 species